UACGGGAUAAUAUAUUUGAGAGGCAUCUCUUGAAUAUCAAAGGUGAGCCAGUACAGGAUGGACCCGCGUCUGAUUAGCUAGUUGGUAAGGUAACGGCUUACCAAGGCGACGAUCAGUAGCCGACCUGAGAGGGUGAUCGGCCACAUUGGAACUGAGACACGGUCCAAACUCCUACGGGAGGCAGCAGUGGGGAAUAUUGCACAAUGGGCGAAAGCCUGAUGCAGCAACGCCGCGUGAGUGAUGAAGGCCUUCGGGUCGUAAAACUCUGUCCUCAAGGAAGAUAAUGACGGUACUUGAGGAGGAAGCCCCGGCUAACUACGUGCCAGCAGCCGCGGUAAUACGUAGGGGGCUAGCGUUAUCCGGAUUUACUGGGCGUAAAGGGUGCGUAGGCGGUCUUUCAAGUCAGGAGUGAAAGGCUACGGCUCAACCGUAGUAAGCUCUUGAAACUGGGAGACUUGAGUGCAGGAGAGGAGAGUGGAAUUCCUAGUGUAGCGGUGAAAUGCGUAGAUAUUAGGAGGAACACCAGUUGCGAAGGCGGCUCUCUGGACUGU
rnacentral:rRNA from 1 species